rnacentral:rRNA from 1 species
CCUACGGGAGGCUGCAGUGGGGAAUAUUGGACAAUGGGGGCAACCCUGAUCCAGCCAUGCCGCGUGUGUGAAGAAGGCCCUCGGGUUGUAAAGCACUUUCAGUGAGGAAGAACGCCUGGUGGUUAAUACCCAUCAGGAAAGACAUCACUCACAGAAGAAGCACCGGCUAACUCCGUGCCAGCAGCCGCGGUAAUACGGAGGGUGCGAGCGUUAAUCGGAAUUACUGGGCGUAAAGCGCGCGUAGGUGGCUCGAUAAGCCGGUUGUGAAAGCCCCGGGCUCAACCUGGGAACGGCAUCCGGAACUGUCAAGCUAGAGUGCAGGAGAGGAAGGUAGAAUUCCUGGUGUAGCGGUGAAAUGCGUAGAGAUCGGGAGGAAUACCAGUGGCGAAGGCGGCCUUCUGGACUGACACUGACACUGAGGUGCGAAAGCGUGGGUAGCAAACAGGAUUAGAUACCCUAGUAGUC